GUGCUGCCACCAUUGAGGUCUAUGUCGUGGUCACUAUCCUCCUGCACCAACUGUUGGGCUAACCUACAUGGCAUAUAGGUAUGUCAGAAUGUGUCUUGACCACAAAAGGAUUUUUACAGUGUGUGGUUCUUGGUACUGGUAUCAUCGCAUGUGUUCUUGGUCAACAUUGGUCUGUCUACAUGCAAUGUUUUGACGGACAAAUAUCCCUCUCUUGGUACAUUACGUAUUUUUUAACACCUUUCAUCACUGACCAUUGUUGUUAGUUUGUCACCGCACCGAUGGUGCUAAGAUUUAGCUUGUUCUUGUGGUGGGUCUUCUGGUUGGAAGACACUGACUCUUUUUUUGGCGUAAUCCCAUUACCGCUAUUAGCUGGGUUCGUCCAUGAGUUGGGAAUAUAGGAAUUGGACAAUUACAAUUGGCUGAGCUACGACGAGUAAAGAAUUUUCAACAAAAGCUAGACUAAUUAAGUAGGUAUAAUAUAAUUGUUGAUAGCUUUCUUAGUAAGCUAUUUUUCGGCGGUGGUAUUAUGAGUGAUUUUAAAUAGGUCUAAAGAUGAAAGGUGUUUGAUGGAAUGAACUUUUGAAUCAGAACAAUUUGUUUGAUAAUUCCAAUGCUUUUUGUGACAUGAAUGAGUGCUUAAAGUAUCCCCCACAUAUUUUUAUUUAAACUUAAGGUUUCAAGGUUUGAAGUCAACAUUACUUUUCAUUUCUAGCAGAUUAAUGAGACUAUAAUAUGAGAUAUUCAGAUGCAGAAUCCGUGAUUAGAGAAUCAGGCGCUGGCAUGACAAUGCUUCUAUACAGAGUAGCUUCUGCAAUAUAAUGCCUUCGGGGUUAUACUACCUUCGGGAUUUCUCUCCCCUAAGUCACCCUUAUUAUUUCCUGGCGUGCUACCUUUAUGAUAGCAUAUGGUGUUAUCAUAUAGGAGCCAUAUACAAGGGUCUUGAAGUCGACUGUGUUAUUUUCAGGUUUAUAGUGGUAACAAUUGAUUUAUCACUUUGAUGUAAAUAAAUGUAUUUCCUCUUGACUAUCAUAGUGCCAUGUAAAUAAAUACAUUAGCUAUCGAAAUUCAUAGUUAUAAUUACUUCUGAUUUGACUCAACAGUAUAAACAAAUUAACUUGGUUUACACAAUCUUUUGAUCAUGGGCGUGCUAUUCCAGAAUAAACAAUGAUGUUAUGCUUUAGCUUCUUUACCAAAGUAUGGUAAUGCCUUUUUGGUUUCCAGAAUUUGGUUGUUUACUAUAAAAAAUAAAACUUUGGCUUCUAGAGAUUGUUUAUAUGUUUAUAACUAAGAGGGGAGUUUGAGAUUUUCAAGAGAAGAGUGUCAUGGCAUUAUGAUGAUCUACAACCUCAUAUAGCUUGUUCAUGAUAUAAUUGCUUUUCAGAGAAGUUGUAAAGGGUUUUGUAUAAAUUUAUGAGUUUGCAUAAAAAAAUUGUAUGCUGACAUGUUCCAUACUACUAUGCUACCUGGUAAGCCAAAGUAUUUUUAUUUGUUUCACCACCGGCAGCAUCUUUUGUAGAGAAUAACUCACAUUAAUUCUCUAAUAUCUGGCUAUUGAGUACAGCCCUUUGAUAUCUUGAGUUAUCAUUUGCACUUUGUGUGAGCUAGCAAGGUCUUUCCUUGCAUGCUUACAUUAUUUUGGGGUGGAAAUGGUUGGAUCAUUUAAUCAGCUAUCAUGCCCUCAUUGUAUGUGAUUUGAAUAUACUAAAUGUGACAGAACAGUUCACCUAUUUUCAGGGAUUAGGGUACCCUUUUGAUGGUUGGUGUCAAGAUGGUUGAAUACGUACUUGCAUCGCAUGUACAAGACACAUCUUAUUUCAAUUUGUAUCCAUAGUUUCAGGUUGUUAGCUAGCAAAACGAAGUUGCAAAGUAGUGUCAUAUUUGAGCAUGAUCUUGGC
rnacentral:lncRNA from 1 species